rnacentral:rRNA from 1 species
UGAUUAGAGUUUGAUCAUGGCUCAGAUUGAACGCUGGCGGCAGGCCUAACACAUGCAAGUCGAGCGGUAGAGAGAAGCUUGCUUCUCUUGAGAGCGGCGGACGGGUGAGUAAUGCCUAGGAAUCUGCCUGGUAGUGGGGGAUAACGUUCGGAAACGAACGCUAAUACCGCAUACGUCCUACGGGAGAAAGCAGGGGACCUUCGGGCCUUGCGCUAUCAGAUGAGCCUAGGUCGGAUUAGCUAGUUGGUGGGGUAAUGGCUCACCAAGGCGACGAUCCGUAACUGGUCUGAGAGGAUGAUCAGUCACACUGGAACUGAGACACGGUCCAGACUCCUACGGGAGGCAGCAGUGGGGAAUAUUGGACAAUGGGCGAAAGCCUGAUCCAGCCAUGCCGCGUGUGUGAAGAAGGUCUUCGGAUUGUAAAGCACUUUAAGUUGGGAGGAAGGGCCAUUACCUAAUACGUGAUGGUUUUGACGUUACCGACAGAAUAGAGCACCGGCUAACUCUGUGCCAGCAGCCGCGGUAAUACAGAGGGUGCAAGCGUUAAUCGGAAUUACUGGGCGUAAAGCGCGCGUAGGUGGUUUGUUAAGUUGGAUGUGAAAUCCCCGGGCUCAACCUGGGAACUGCAUUCAAAACUGACUGACUAGAGUAUGGUAGAGGGUGGUGGAAUUUCCUGUGUAGCGGUGAAAUGCGUAGAUAUAGGAAGGAACACCAGUGGCGAAGGCGACCACCUGGACUGAUACUGACACUGAGGUGCGAAAGCGUGGGGAGCAAACAGGAUUAGAUACCCUGGUAGUCCACGCCGUAAACGAUGUCAACUAGCCGUUGGGAGCCUUGAGCUCUUAGUGGCGCAGCUAACGCAUUAAGUUGACCGCCUGGGGAGUACGGCCGCAAGGUUAAAACUCAAAUGAAUUGACGGGGGCCCG